AGUGAUCUACUUCCAAAGAGGAAGCACAGAAAGCAUGCUGAUACCACAGCGGAAGUAUUGUAGUGGAAGUAUCAUGCUGAAACAUACUGUGAAUGUGGAAUAAAUGACCAAAUACAAGACAUGCAUGUGUCUUGAUAUCUAGAGUAUCUUCAUUGGCCUGAAGUUGUCCAAGUAACCUAAGCUGGACCUGGGACCUGCCUGUCUUCAUUUCUCCAAAGACCACCUCCCUUGAUGAAAUUACAAUGGGUGCCGCCAUACCAGCCUUCAUAUACAGGUUCUAGGAAUCAAGAUUGGGUCCUUCUGUUUACAAGGCAAGGACAUAACCACCUAAUCUAUCUCCCCAACCAGGACAACAAAACUUUUUGAUCACCAAAGGGGCACUGCUGGUCACUUCAGUAAGGGUGGUUCAGUAUUCUUCACCAUCCUCUAGUGAAACCAUACUAUAAAAUUACUAUACAAUUGGCAAUUCGCCGGGCGGUGGUGGCACAUGCCUUUAAUCCCAGCACUCGGGAGGCAGAGCCAGGCAGAUCUCUGUGAGUUUAAGGUUACAGAGUGAGUUCCA